rnacentral:lncRNA from 1 species
CUCAUUUUCUCUUGCUGCCGCCAGGUAAGAAGUGCCCUUCACCUUCUGAGGCCUCCCCAGCCAUGUGGAACUGUCCUCUCAGAUCUACCAUGUGAGUGCACACAUCCUUCCAGUCAACCAGAGGUGGGGUCGCUUUGGGACUCUGAGAUUCUCACGCAGGAAGUUUACUGGAGCAUGUUCUUAGGAACAACACCUGUCUCUAAUGUGAGAGGAGAAAGAAGAAGGCAAAGGGAGAGUCUGAACCUUGAUGCAGUCACAGCACAGACCUGAGCUGACCCUGCAGGGAGCUCUGGGGCUGGGAUGGUUCUGCAGAGUCCAGUGCGUGCCAGGCCAGCUUGCAUGGGCUUGGGCAGAGCUGGUGGUGCGCACUUCUUCCCAACUUCACAUUCAAUGACAUCAUGUUGAUAUCUUGAAACUGGUGGCACAUACGUUUAUAACACAAAAAUAGGCAAUGCUAGAAACCAGGGGUUCUCCCACUUCCCUUGCCUAGAAAGCUGGUUUGCCAGAAAAGCCACAGUGAAGAAAGAUUGCUUCCAUAUCUAUCUCUGUGCCCAAAUUCAUGCAAUAAAUUCUUCGCUGUUGUU